rnacentral:rRNA from 1 species
GUCCUAGCCGUAAACACUGAACACUCGAGGAGGGGGGCUUCGGCCUUCUUUCUCUUAGCGAAAGCGUUAAGUGUUCCGCCUGGGGAGUAUGGUCGCAAGGCUGAAACUCAAAGGAAUUGACGGGGGCUCACACAAGCGGUGGAGCAUGUGGCUUAAUUCGAGGCAACGCGAAGAACCUUAUCCUGGGCUUGACAUGUACGGAUCAACCCGGUGAAAGCCGGGCCACACUCGCAAGAGCGGAACGUGCACAGGUGCUGCAUGGCUGUCGU